GUCAACUGUUUAUCAGCUGGGCUUCUGAAACCUGUUUAAUGGCUUCUGUGAUGCAGUUUCUUCCUGUUCCGGAUUGUUUGAGCUCCAUAUAUAGGAGGUACCAUCAUCAUUUCAGAGACAUCAGUAUAAUAAGCCCAACGGGAGAAUGAUAUGGCAAUUUCUAAAUUUCCUAGAAGGAUCGCUCAGGAGGAUGGGCUUGAGCAGGCUGCCUUCCAUGUCACACCACCACUGGGCACAUUUUGUUUUUUGGCAACUGCCCCAACAGGGUCACAUCUUGUUUGGCAUUUUAAUUCCUCAUGCAUCAGUGGCAACAUCAAAGGUCACAGAAAGGAUUAUUUCACACUUUAAGAGAAAGUGACUCAGGGUUGUUGGAAGGGGUGCCUGGUCCCCGGGCCAUGGACUGGUACCAGUUUGCGGACUGUUACGAACUGGGCGGCACAGCAGGAGGCAAGAGGCAGGUGAGUGAGCAUUCCCACCUGAGCUCCCCCUCUUGUCAGAUCAGCCUUGGCAUUCGAUUCUCAUAGAAGAGUGAACCCUAUUAUGAACUGCGCAGGCAAGGGAUCUAGGUGGUGCAUUCCUUAUGAGAACCUAAUGUCUGAUAAUCUGAGAUGGAACAGUUUCAUCCCCAAACCAACCCUGCUGGCCUGUGGAAAAAUUGUCUCCCAUGAAACCAGUCCCUGGUGCCAAAAAGGUUGGGGACCACUGGUCUGUAAUUUGUAAUAUUGAGAGAAAUUGGGGAAAACAAAGAUUUUUCAGAAUCCAAAGUGUAAACUGAUCUAGUGUAAAAGAUUUAUAGCAAAUAACAGACCCAAAAGCCUUAGUUUAAGGCCAGUAAGAAAUCAAAAUCAUAAGAAGAAUGAGGCUAGGGUAAACCCAACCCAGGAAAAUAGCUCUGAGUAGACGCUAAAAGGAAUUUGACUUGAGAGGCAGAUAUGGAAACACUUCUCUACCAUGAUCUAAGGAUCUGAAAUGAGCAACUCAAUUUUCCUGGUGAAAAUAUUCAAACUCCAUCGUUUGCAAUUCAGUUCCCUUUAUGAGAUGGCCCAACCUCUGUUUGUUUCCUAGUCACUUCUUUCAUAGCCAGUGUGUAUCCAAUGAGUAGACCUAUGGGCCACUCUUGUCUGUGCUUUCCUGCUGCCAUGGUGACAUGAGUUUUGAAUUUCUCUUUACCUAGAUUACCUACACCUCCACUUUGAAAAUAAACACACUGCUCAUAUUUGACCAAAUGGAUCAGUUUGUCCAUAAAAUUUCCUCUGAUUCCCUCAGCUGGAAGUACUCUUUCUUUCUAAAUCCUAAAUUCAUGCUAAGUACCUCAUCUGGUCGCUUAACGCAUUCUGUUUUGGUUUCAACUGUUGAUGCAUUCUUUUACUACGCUGUAAACCCUUAAGAGAUAACAUAUAUUUUAUUGUUCAUAGGCAAGCCAACCUUGCUGAUAAAUAUUCACAGAAUAAUUAAGAUUAC
rnacentral:lncRNA from 10 species